rnacentral:rRNA from 1 species
GACGUAGGUGGCGAACGUUAUCCGGAAUUAUUGGGCGUAAAGGAUGCGUAGAUGGUGUAGUAAGUUAUCGGUGGCAAAUCGAGGCUCAACCUCGUGGAAGCUGGUAAUACUGUCAGGCUCGAGUGCAGGAGAGGUUAACGGAACUCCAUGUGGAGCGGUAAAAAUGUGUAGAUAUAUGGAAGAACACCAAUAACGGCGAAGGCAGUUAACUAUUCUGUUACUGACAUUGAGGCACGAAAGCGUGGGGAGCAAAACGG